GAUGAACGCUGGCGGCGUGCCUAAUACAUGCAAGUCGAGCGAACAGACGAGGAUCUUGCUCCUCUGACGUUAGCGGCGGACGGGCGAGUAACACGUGGAUAACCUACUUAUAAUUCUGGGAUAACUUCGGGAAACCGGAGCUUAUACCGUCUAAUAUAUUGAACCGCAUGGUUCAAUAGUGAAUGACGGUUGUGCUGUCACGUAUAGAUGGAUCCGCGCCGCAUUAGCUAGUUGUUAAGGUAACGGCCUACCAAGGCAACUAGUCGUAGCCGAUGUGAUCGGGUGAUCGCCCGCACUGGAACUGAGACACGGUCCAGACUCCUACGGGACGCAGCAGAAGGGAAUCUUCCGCAAUGGGCGAGAGCUUGACGGAACAACCGCGCGCGAGUGAUGGAGGUCCUCGGAUCGUAAAACUCUGUUAUUAGGGAUGAACAACUGUGUAAGUAACUAUGCACGUCUUGACGGUACCGAAUCAGAAAGCACCGGCUAACUACGUG
rnacentral:rRNA from 1 species